rnacentral:rRNA from 1 species
GAGUUUGAUCCUGGCUCAGAUUGAACGCUGGCGGCAUGCCUAACACAUGCAAGUCGAACGGUAACAGCGGGAGCUUGCUCCUGGCUGACGAGUGGCGGACGGGUGAGUAACGCGUAGGAAUCUGCCUAAUAGAUGGGGACAACUCAGGGAAACUUGAGCUAAUACCGAAUACGCCCUACGGGGGAAAGCGGGGGAUCUUCGGACCUCGCGCUAUUAGAUGAGCCUGCGUUGGAUUAGCUAGUUGGUGGGGUAAAGGCCUACCAAGGCGACGAUCUCUAGCUGGUCUGAGAGGAUGAUCAGCCACACUGGAACUGAGACACGGUCCAGACUCCUACGGGAGGCAGCAGUGGGGAAUAUUGCACAAUGGGCGCAAGCCUGAUGCAGCCAUGCCGCGUGUGUGAAGAAGGCCCUGCGGGUUGUAAAGCACUUUCAAUUGGGAAGAAAGAUUUAGAGUUAAUACCUCUUAAUAUUGACGUUACCAAUAGAAGAAGCACCGGCUAACUCUGUGCCAGCAGCCGCGGUAAUACAGAGGGUGCGAGCGUUAAUCGGAAUUACUGGGCGUAAAGAGUACGUAGGUGGUUAAAUCAGUCGGAUGUGAAAGCCCCAGGCUUAACUUGGGAAUUGCAUUCGAUACUGUUUGACUAGAGUACAGUAGAGAGAAGCGGAAUUCCUAGUGUAGCGGUGAAAUGCGUAGAUAUUAGGAAGAACACCAGUGGCGAAGGCGGCUUCUUGGAUUGAUACUGACACUGAGGUACGAAAGCGUGGGGAGCAAACAGGAUUAGAUACCCUGGUAGUCCACGCCGUAAACGAUGUCAACUAGGUGCAGGGGAAUUUAUAAACCUUUAGUAUAGGAGCGAACGCGAUAAGGGCGCCGCCGGGGGAGGACGGCCGCAAGGGGAAAACGCAAAGGAAUGGACGGGGGCCCGCACAAGCGGUGGAGCAUGUGGUUUAAUUCGAUGCAACGCGAAUAACCUUACCUGGCCUUGACAUCCUUGGAAUUUCGCAGAAACGUGAAAGUGCCUUCGGGAGCAAAGAGCCAGGUGCUGCCGGCUGUCGUCAGCUCGUGUCGUGAGAUGUUGGGUUAAUUCCCGCAACGAGCGCAACCCUCGUCUUUAGUUGCCAGCGGUUAAGCUGGGCACUCUAAGGAGACUGCCUCCGUAAGGAGGAGGAAGGUGAGGACGACGUCAAGUCAUCAUGGCCCUUACGGCUAGGGCUACACACGUGCUACAAUGGGGCGUACAGAGUGUUGCGAUACCGCGAGGUGGAGCCAAUCACUUAAAGCGUCUCUCAGUUCGGAUUGGAGUCUGCAACUCGACUCCAUGAUGCUCGAAUCACUAGAAAUCGUAGAUCAGCAAUGCUACUGUGAAUACGUUCCCGGGUCUUGUACUCACCGCCCGUCACACCAUGGGAGUUGAUUUCACCCGAAAUUGGGAAGCUAACCUGGCUACCCUCCACGGUGGGAUCAGCGACUGGGGUGAAGUCGUAACGAGGUAAC